ACUAGAGACCGGCGCACGGGUGCGUAACGCGUAUGCAAUCUACCUUUUACAGAGGGAUAGCCCAGAGAAAUUUGGAUUAAUACCUCAUAGUAUAGCGACAUCGCAUGAUGAUGCUAUUAAAGUCACAACGGUAAAAGAUGAGCAUGCGUCCCAUUAGCUAGUUGGUAAGGUAACGGCUUACCAAGGCUACGAUGGGUAGGGGUCCUGAGAGGGAGAUCCCCCACACUGGUACUGAGACACGGACCAGACUCCUACGGGAGGCAGCAGUGAGGAAUAUUGGACAAUGGGCGCAAGCCUGAUCCAGCCAUGCCGCGUGCAGGAUGACGGUCCUAUGGAUUGUAAACUGCUUUUGCACAGGAAGAAACAACUCUACGUGUAGAGUCUUGACGGUACUGUGAGAAUAAGGAUCGGCUAACUCCGUGCCAGCAGCCGCGGUAAUACGGAGGAUCCAAGCGUUAUCCGGAAUCAUUGGGUUUAAAGGGUCCGUAGGCGGUUUAGUAAGUCAGUGGUGAAAGCCCAUCGCUCAACGGUGGAACGGCCAUUGAUACUGCUAGACUUGAAUUAUUAGGAAGUAACUAGAAUAUGUAGUGUAGCGGUGAAAUGCUUAGAGAUUACAUGGAAUACCAAUUGCGAAGGCAGGUUACUACUAAUUGAUUGACGCUGAUGGACGAAAGCGUGGGUAGCGAACAGGAUUAGAUACCCUGGUAGUCCACGCCGUAAACGAUGGAUACUAGCUGUUGGGAGCGAUCUCAGUGGCUAAGCGAAAGUGAUAAGUAUCCCACCUGGGGAGUACGUUCGCAAGAAUGAAACUCAAAGGAAUUGACGGGGGCCCGCACAAGCGGUGGAGCAUGUGGUUUAAUUCGAUGAUACGCGAGGAACCUUACCAAGGCUUAAAUGUAGAUUGACCGGUUUGGAAACAGACUUUUCGCAAGACAAUUUACAAGGUGCUGCAUGGUUGUCGUCAGCUCGUGCCGUGAGGUGUCAGGUUAAGUCCUAUAACGAGCGCAACCCCUGUUGUU
rnacentral:rRNA from 1 species